GAGAGUUAAGAAGAGAGAAUGCCGGAAUGAGUAGCGAGAUUUAAGUGAGAAUCUUAAAGGCUGAAUAUCUAAGGUUUCCAGGGUAAAGCUGAUCUUCCCUGGGUAAGUCGGGGCCUAAGGCGAGGGCGAGAGCCGUAGUCGAUGGAUAACAGGUUGAAAUUCCUGUACUGCUUAUGGACAGAACUGUGGGGACGCAGAAGGAGAGCACGAGCCGGAAAUGGAAAAGCCGGUACAAGCGUAUAGCAGUCAUGCAGGCAAAACCGCAUGAAAAAUGUAAAGCGUUAUGUGGAUCGAACAUUAGUAGAGAAGCGUGUGAGCCAGCUGCCAAGAAAAGCCGCUAUUGCUUCAUAAGUACCCGUACCGUAAACCGACACAGGUGGAUGAGGAGAGAAUCCUAAGGCCGGCGGGAGAAGUGUUGUUAAGGAACUCGGCAAAAUGACUCCGUAACUUCGGGAGAAGGAGUGCCACAGAGAUGUGGCCGCAGAGAAAUGGCCCAAGCAACUGUUUAGCAAAAACACAGGUCUAUGCAAAACCGAAAGGUGAGGUAUAUGGGCUGACGCCUGCCCGGUGCUGGAAGGUUAAGAGGAGAGGUUAGAGCAAUCGAAGCUUUGAAUUUAAGCCCCAGUAAACGGCGGCCGUAACUAUAACGGUCCUAAGGUAGCGAAAUUCCUUGUCGGGUAAGUUCCGACCCGCACAAAAGGCGUAAUGAUUUGGGCACUGUCUCAACAACACACCCGGUGAAAUUGAAAUACCAGUGAAGAUGCUGGUUACCUGCGCCAGGACGGAAAGACCCCAUGGAGCUUUACUCCAGUUUGAUACUGGGAUUCGGUACUGUCUGUACAGGAUAGGUGGGAGGCUAGGAAAUGGUGACGCCAGUUGCCAUGGAGCCAACCUUGGGAUACCACCCUUACAGUACUGGGUUUCUAACCUGCAGCCGUAACCCGGCUGGGGGACAAUGUCUGACGGGGAGUUUGACUGGGGCGGUCGCCUCCGAAAGAGUAUCGGAGGCGCUCAAAGGUUCCCUCAGAACGGUUGGAAACCGUUCGAAGAGUGCAAAGGCAGAAGGGAGCUUGACUGCGACACCGACGGGUGGAGCAGAUACGAAAGUAGGACUUAGUGAUCCGGUGGUAUAAAGUGGGAUUGCCAUCGCUCAACGGAUAAAAGCUACCCUGGGAUAACAGGCUUAUCACUCCCAAGAGUUCACAUCGACGGAGUGGUUUGGCACCUCGAUGUCGGCUCAUCGCAUCCUGGAGCUGUAGCAGGUUCCAAGGGUUGGGCUGUUCGCCCAUUAAAGCGGUACGCGAGCUGGGUUCAGAACGUCGUGAGACAGUUCGGUCCCUAUCCGGCGUGGGCGUAGGAUAUUUGAGAGGAGCUGUCCUUAGUACGAGAGGACCGGGAUGGACAAACCUCUGGUGUAUCUGUUGUUUUACCAAAGGCAUGGCAGAGUAGCCAAGUUUGGCAGGGAUAAACGCUGAAGGCAUCUAAGCGUGAAGCCCCCCUCAAGAUAAGAUAUCCCAUCUUCGGAGUAAGACCCCUUGAAGACUACAAGGUUGAUAGGCUUUGUGUGUAAGUGCGGUAACGCACUCAGCUGAGAAGUACUAAUAGGUCGAGGACUUAUC
rnacentral:rRNA from 1 species